CUACUGAUGCCCGCGUCGCGA
rnacentral:sRNA from 1 species